AAGUCGUAACAAGGUUUCCGUAGGUGAACCUGCGGAAGGAUCAUUAUCGAACUAUCGAGGGUUGUUGCUGGGUGUCACAAGACGCCAUGUGCACGCCUUCAUAAUUCUCAACCCCUGUGCACCUAUUGUAGGCUGGGCGUAGGGCUGACUUAGGUCGGUCUGAAAGCCAGGCUAUGUUUACACACGCUUCAGUUUAAGAAUGUCAUUUGCGGAUAACGCAUCGUAUACAACUUUCAGCAACGGAUCUCUUGGCUCUC
rnacentral:misc_RNA from 1 species